GAAAUGCGAUAAGUAAUGUGAAUUGCAGAAUUCAGUGAAUCAUCGAAUCUUUGAACGCACCUUGCGCUCCUUGGUAUUCCUUGGAGCAUGCCUGUUUGAGUAUCAUGAAAUCUUCAAAGUAAAUCUUUUGUUAACUCAAUUGGCUUCUACUUUGGUAUUGGAGGUCUUUGCAGCUUCACACCUGCUCCUCUUUGUUCAUUAGCUGGAUCUCAGUGUUAUGCUUGGUUCCACUCGGCGUGAUAAGUUAUCUAUCGCUGAGGACACUGUAAAAGGUGGCCAAGGUAAAUGCAGAUGAACUGCUUCUAAUAGUCCAUUGACUUGGACAAUACUUUUAUGAUCUGAUCUCAAAUCAGGUAGGACUACCCGCUGAACUUAAGC
rnacentral:misc_RNA from 1 species